CGACUGUUUACCUAAAACACAGGGCUAUGCUAAGUCGUACGACGACGUAUAUGGCCUGACGCCUGCCCGGUGCUGGAAGGUUAAGAGGAGAAGUGCAAGCUUUGAAUCGAAGCCCCAGUAAACGGCGGCCGUAACGAUAACGGUCCUAAGGUAGCGAAAUUCCUUGUCGGGUAAGUUCCGACCUGCACGAAUGGCGUAACGAUGGCCACACUGUCUCCACC
rnacentral:rRNA from 1 species